UUUCAACAAGGGGCGACAAGCACUUUAUUGUAUGAAGCACUUGGUUUCUCCGAUCUGUAGACAAGUUUGGGUACGAGAUAUUAUUUAUGUUUAAGGCAUGUAUGCUAUUAUGUAAAUGUUUGCCAUGUUGAAGCAUGUGAUGCAUGAUGGAUUAGACAAUGUCAUUUCUGUCUAAGAUUGCAAUGUUUAUGUAUAUAAUGUAUAUUCCAUAUACUACAUGAGAUGAUUGAGAAAGCAUGAUAAAUGCCAUGAGAUUAUGCAUACAAUGUAUAUUCCAUAUAUUACAUGAGAUAUUGAGUAGGCAUAAGAAAUGCCAUGAGUUGUGUAUAUGAUGUAAAAUUCUAUAUUCUUUAUGAGAUGAGCUAGCAUGUAUGUGAUGGACAUUCCACAUACCCAAUGAUAUGAAUAUGAGUACUUGAUUUGAAUGAGCCAUAAUUCCACUUUCACGAGAUGUAAGUGAUGACUUCACUUCUAUGAUGCAUCAUAAAUGUUCAAGGUACAAUGGAAUUAUAUGUCAUCAGCCCAAGAUUGAUGGGGGUCAAACCGUCAAUGUGUGAGUUUAAUGUUAAUGAGAUGAUGUCGAUUGUUAUGAAUGAUAUGUUGCAUGUUAAGUUUAUUUGAGUAAUGUUUAUGAAUAAUUCUCUAUGAUGGCCUACAAACAUGUUUGGUGAAAAUGACUGAGCUUUAAGAAUAGUCCUAAAAGGUAAAAUGACCUAAGGAAUGGCCAAAAAUGCAAAAUUUUGUCUAGAAAACAGAGUUUUAGAGGCUAUCCAUCGAUUCAUGUAAAACAUCUAUUGUUAGAUAGCAAACAAAAUGCAAUAAGAAGCAUUCUACUUCAAAUCUAUCGAUAAAUGAGUCAUAGAAUUGUAUGUGUUAACUUGUUUGAAUGCUUUCCAAAGGCAGAAAGGUUUCUAAAAGUUAUCUAAACUUGUUUCCACGCAAAUGCUAUUUAAAUUGUGUUUAAAUACCAUGUUUCAUGAACCUUAUGAUUAAAUUGUUUAUGAAUGGCAUCACAUUACAAGUGCAUGUUUACGAGAUACUCUUAUCCCCUGGCUUGUCCCCUUAUCGCAUCCACUCACAGAGUCUUUGUGACUCACACGUUAUUUUCACCAUUUAUUUUGUUGCAGAUCAGUGAUAACACUCUUGAUAGUAGCCAGUGUCACAAAGAUGUGAUUUGUUCCUCUUUUGGUAAGUGAUUUAGUAGCCAUUUGCAGCCUAGAGGUCGAGUCAUGUUUCGCUGACGAGUCGAUGUUUACCUUAUGUUUAUGUUUACGAACUAUGAACAUGUUUAUUUUAAUGUUGCCCAUGUUAGGCAUUUUACAUUGAUAAUAUUAUGUACAAAAUUAUGAUGAUGGCUCGAGAGCCUUUAUGGACACCCUAGGGUGUUGGUGACAAUUAAUGUUAUUGUGCAUUAUGACAGUG
rnacentral:lncRNA from 1 species